rfam:Schistosoma rodhaini strain Burundi genome assembly, scaffold: SROB_scaffold0000515
ACACUGCCGAGGAGUCCCACAAUAGGACGAAACGACCAUCAAGUGU